rnacentral:rRNA from 1 species
UAGGGAAUCUUCCGCAAUGGGCGAAAGCCUGACGGAGCAACGCCGCGUGAGUGAUGAAGGUCUUCGGAUCGUAAAACUCUGUUAUUAGGGAAGAACAAAUGUGUAAGUAACUAUGCACGUCUUGACGGUACCUAAUCAGAAAGCCACGGCUAACUACGUGCCAGCAGCCGCGGUAAUACGUAGGUGGCAAGCGUUAUCCGGAAUUAUUGGGCGUAAAGCGCGCGUAGGCGGUUUUUUAAGUCUGAUGUGAAAGCCCCCGGCUCAACCGGGGAGGGUCAUUGGAAACUGGUUGACUUGAGUGCAGAAGAGGAGAGUGGAAUUCCAUGUGUAGCGGUGAAAUGCGUAGAUAUAUGGAGGAACACCAGUGGCGAAGGCGACUCUCUGGUCUGUAACUGACGCUGAGGCUCGAAAGCGUGGGUAGCAAACAGG